rnacentral:rRNA from 1 species
AGAAUCAACGCUGGCGGCGUGCCUAACACAUGCAAGUCGAACGCGGUUAUUUCAGCUCCGCAAGGCGUUGGGAUAACUGAGUGGCGAACGGGUGAGUAACACGUGGGUGAUCUACCUUCGAGUGGGGGAUAACGUUCCGAAAGGAACGCUAAUACCGCAUGACGUUCUGGGUUUGAAGACCUGGAAACCAAAGCCGGGGACCGCAAGGCCUGGCGCUUGGAGAGGAGCCCGCGUCCGAUUAGCUAGUUGGCGGGGUAACGGCCCACCAAGGCGACGAUC